CGGAGGGAUCAUUACAAGUGACCCCGGUCUAACCACCGGGAUGUUCAUAACCCUUUGUUGUCCGACUCUGUUGCCUCCGGGGCGACCCUGCCUUCGGGCGGGGGCUCCGGGUGGACACUUCAAACUCUUGCGUAACUUUGCAGUCUGAGUAAACUUAAUUAAUAAAUUAAAACUUUUAACAACGGAUCUCUUGGUUCUGGCAUCGAUGAAGAACGCAGCGAAAUGCGAUAAGUAAUGUGAAUUGCAGAAUUCAGUGAAUCAUCGAAUCUUUGAACGCACAUUGCGCCCCCUGGUAUUCCGGGGGGCAUGCCUGUUCGAGCGUCAUUUCACCACUCAAGCCUCGCUUGGUAUUGGGCAACGCGGUCCGCCGCGUGCCUCAAAUCGACCGGCUGGGUCUUCUGUCCCCUAAGCGUUGUGGAAACUAUUCGCUAAAGGGUGUUCGGGAGGCUACGCCGUAAAACAACCCCAUUUCUAAGGUUGACCUCGGAUCAGGUAGGGAUACCCGCUGAACUUAAGCAUAUCAAUAAG
rnacentral:rRNA from 1 species